UAAAUAUUGGCCAGAGACCGAUAGCGCACAAGUAGAGUGAUCGAAAGAUGAAAAGCACUUUGGAAAGAGAGUCAAACAGUACGUGAAAUUGUUGAAAGGGAAGCGCUUGCAACCAGACUUGCCCGCGGGUGAUCAACCGGUAUUCUUACCGGUGCACUCGCCCGUGGUCAGGCCAGCAUCGGUUCGGGCGGCCGGAUAAAGUCCCCUGGAAUGUGGCUCCCCUCGGGGAGUGUUAUAGCCAGGGGUGCAAUGCGGCCCGCCCGGACCGAGGACCGCGCUUCGGCUAGGAUGCUGGCGUAAUGGUUGUAAGCGACCCGUCUUGAAACACGGACCAAGGAGUCUAACAUCUAUGCGAGUGUUUGGGUGUCAAACCCAUGCGCGUAAUGAAAGUGAACGGAGGUGGGAACCCUUAAGGGUGCACCAUCGACCGAUCCUGAUGUCUUCGGAUGGAUUUGAGUAAGAGCAUAGCUGUUGGGACCCGAAAGAUGGUGAACUAUGCCUGAAUAGGGUGAAGCCAGAGGAAACUCUGGUGGAGGCUCGCAGCGGUUCUGACGUGCAAAUCGAUCGUCAAAUUUGGGUAUAGGGGCGAAAGACUAAUCGAACCAUCUGCUACUAGAUGGCACACGGGCCUAAGGGCCCCAGUAAUCCCUGCGGGGGUGACAUCGUCGGUCUUCCGGGAACGCCUCUGGGCUACCCGCAGUGAGCCGUGGGCUCAUUCACAGACUAAGUGGCGGUGGCCGCGUCCCGUGACGCGGUUAGGAUAUAGCCGAUUC
rnacentral:rRNA from 1 species